GAUUGCAGCUGGCGGCAGGCUACGCAUGCAGUCGAGCGGUAGAGAGAAGCUUGCUUCUCUUGAGAGGGAGGACGGGUGAGUAAUGCCUAGGAAUCUGCCUGGUAGUGGGGGAUAACGUUCGGAAACGAACGCUAAUACCGCAUACGUCCUACGGGAGAAAGCAGGGGACCUUCGGGCCUCCUCGCUAACAGAUGAGCCUAGGUCGGAUUAGCUAGUUGGUGAGGUAAUGGCUCACCAAGGCGACGAUCCGUAACUGGUCUGAGAGGAUGAUCAGUCACACUGGAACUGAGACACGGUCCAGACUCCUACGGGAGGCAGCAGUGGGGAUUAUUGGACAAUGGGCGAAAGCCUGAUCCAGCCAUGCCGCGUGUGUGAAGAAGGUCUUCGGAUUGUAAAGCACUUUAAGUUGGGAGGAAGGGCAUUAACCUAAUACGUUAGUGUUUUGACGUUACCGACAGAAUAAGCACCGGCUAACUCUGUGCCAGCAGCCGCGGUAAUACAGAGGGUGCAAGCGUUAAUCGGAAUUACUGGGCGUAAAGCGCGCGUAGGUGGUUUGUUAAGUUGGAUGUGAAAUCCCCGGGCUCAACCUGGGAACUGCAUUCAAAACUGACUGACUAGAGUAUGGUAGAGGGUGGUGGAAUUUCCUGUGUAGCGGUGAAAUGCGUAGAUAUAGGAAGGAACACCAGUGGCGAAGGCGACCACCUGGACUAAUACUGACACUGAGUGCGAAAGCGUGGGGAGCAAACAGGAUUAGAUACCCUGGUAGUCCACGCCGUAAACGAUGUCAACUAGCCGUUGGAAGCCUUGAGCUUUUAGUGCCGCAGCUAAGGCAUUAGUUGACCGCCUGGGGAGUACGGCCGCAGGUUAAAACUCAAAUGAAUUGACGGGAGGGC
rnacentral:rRNA from 1 species